AGAACGAACGCUGGCGGCAUGCCUAACACAUGCAAGUCGAGCGGAAAGGCCCUUCGGGGUACUCGAGCGGCGAACGGGUGAGUAACACGUGAGUAAUCUGCCCCUAGCUCUGGGAUAGCUCCGGGAAACCGGAUUAAUACCGGAUACGACCACCUUAGACAUCUUUUGUGGUGGAAAGAAUUUCGGCUAGGGAUGAGCUCGCGGCCUAUCAGCUUGUGGUGGGUAACGCCUACCAAGGCGACGACGGGUA
rnacentral:rRNA from 1 species